UACGUAGGGGGCAAGCGUUAUCCGGAUUUACUGGGUGUAAAGGGAGCGCAGACGGAAGAACAAGUCUGAUGUGAAAAUCCCGGGCUCAACCCGGGAAUUGCAUUGGAAACUGUACUUCUAGAGUGCAGGAGAGGUAAGUGGAAUUCCUAGUGUAGCGGUGAAAUGCGUAGAUAUUAGGAGGAACACCGGUGGCGAAGGCGGCUUACUGGACUGUAACUGACGUUGAGGCUCGAAAGCGUGGGGAG
rnacentral:rRNA from 1 species